rnacentral:rRNA from 1 species
GCGCGAAAACUUUACAAUGCUGGCAACAGCGAUAAGGGAACCUCGAGUGCCAGGUUACAAAUCUGGCUGUCGAGAUGCCUAAAAAGCAUUUCAUAGCAAGGGCCGGGCAAGACCGGUGCCAGCCGCCGCGGUAACACCGGCGGCUCGAGUGGUAACCGUUAUUAUUGGGUCUAAAGGGUCUGUAGCCGGCCGGAUAAGUCUCUUGAGAAAUCUGGCAGCUUAACUGUCAGGCUUUCAGGAGAUACUGUCUGGUUCGAGGGCGGGAGAGGUGAGAGGUACUUCAGGGGUAGGGGUGAGAUCUUGUCAUCCUUGAAGGACCACCAGUGGCGAAGGCGUCUCACCAGAACGGACCUGACGGCAAGGGACGAA